GUCGAACGAGAGAUUGCUAGCUUGCUAUAAUUCUCUAGUGGCGCACGGGUGAGUAACACGUGAGUAACCUGCCCCCGAGAGCGGGAUAGCCCUGGGAAACUGGGAUUAAUACCGCAUAGUAUCGAAAGAUUAAAGCAGCAAUGCGCUUGGGGAUGGGCUCGCGGCCUAUUAGUUAGUUGGUGAGGUAACGGCUCACCAAGGCGAUGACGGGUAGCCGGUCUGAGAGGAUGUCCGGCCACACUGGAACUGAGACACGGUCCAGACACCUACGGGUGGCAGCAGUCGAGAAUCAUUCACAAUGGGGGAAACCCUGAUGGUGCGACGCCGCGUGGGGGAAUGAAGGUCUUCGGAUUGUAAACCCCUGUCAUGUGGGAGCAAAUUAAAAAGAUAGUACCACAAGAGGAAGAGACGGCUAACUCUGUGCCAGCAGCCGCGGUAAUACAGAGGUCUCAAGCGUUGUUCGGAAUCACUGGGCGUAAAGCGUGCGUAGGCUGUUUCGUAAGUCGUGUGUGAAAGGCGCGGGCUCAACCCGCGGACGGCACAUGAUACUGCGAGACUAGAGUAGUGGAGGGGGAACCGGAAUUCUCGGUGUAGCAGUGAAAUGCGUAGAUAUCGAGAGGAACACUCGUGGCGAAGGCGGGUUCCUGGACAUUAACUGACGCUGAGGCACGAAGGCCAGGGGAGCGAAAGGGAUUAGAUACCCCUGUAGUCCUGGCAGUAAACGGUGCACGCUUGGUGUGCGGGGAAUCGACCCCCUGCGUGCCGGAGCUAACGCGUUAAGCGU
rnacentral:rRNA from 1 species